UACGGGGGGGGCAAGCGUUGUUCGGAAUUACUGGGCGUAAAGGGCUCGUAGGUGGCCAACUAAGUCAGACGUGAAAUCCCUCGGCUUAACCGGGGAACUGCGUCUGAUACUGGAUGGCUAGAGAUUGGGAGAGGGAUGCGGAAUUCCCGGUGUAGCGGUGAAAUGCGCAGAUAUCGGGAGGAACACCAAUGGCGAAGGCAGCUCGCUGGGACGUUACUGACGCUGAGACGCGAAAGCGUGGGGAGCAAACAGG
rnacentral:rRNA from 1 species